CAGGGUAUAGCUCAGUGGUAGAGUAUGUGCUUAGCCUGCAUGAGGUCCUGGGUUCAAUCCCCAGUACCUUUG
rnacentral:tRNA from 1 species